CGGAAGGAGCCAUGUUUGCAUGUAAGGCAGCCUAGGGGCACCGCUCGGGGCGGAGUCUCGCGGGAAGGGACCCCGUCUUGAGGCCUUUUAAUCCCAGAGACUUCUAUAAUGACGUGGACGGGGCUCCCGGGAGGAGCCUGGGGACGUCGGGUCGGUGAGGCAAAGAGCCGCUGAGUGACUAGUCUUUUGGCUCACAGUGACUAGUCAGCCCUGGAUCAGAAGCGUUGGCCGAGGCCCUAGAGGUUAAAGCUGUAGGGGAAGGGUUUCUUUGUUUCCUCAUCGGUACCCGGAAGGUAGAAAAACUGAAUAACUGUUUCUCCCAGGUCCUCCCGAGUUUCUCCAGGGACCAGCCAAGAUGGCCAUGGAGGCGGUGGCCUGAAUGGUCAGCAGGCUAAAGAAAAGGCCAGAUGAGAAAUACAGAGGCCAAAGGGAUGACAUAAUUUGCCAAAAGUCAUGAAGUUAUUGAAAUAGGAAGGACUAAAAUUAGAACCAAGGUCUUCUUACUCAUCAUUCAGGUGCCCUUCUACAACAAUGAGGUUUCAAGCUAGAAAAGGAGGUAGUCCUCUCCUACAGCAAGACCAUGAAGCUGAUGGACAGAGCAUUUCUUAAGACUUAGAAAAAGGCCCACAGUGUGUUGGAUAGACUGUCAGACUUCUCAGCACCUACAAGUGGACGUGGAUUAGAGGCACAGAGCAUGAGAAGACUUAGAUGGAAGAGAUAAAGCAAAGGAUUAAAGUACUUCUAGACAAUUCACUAGUUUAAAAAAUGAGGAAUGUGGAAUCUUCCUCUGUGUAGGAAUGAGCUUGGAACAGAUAGGAAAACUGUUUGUAGUAGCUUCAAAUUAGCAAGAAUAAGUAUUUCUAUUAAUAGG